UACGGAAGGCAGCAGUGGGGAAUAUUGCACAAUGGGCGCAAGCCUGAUGCAGCCAUGCCGCGUGUAUGAAGAAGGCCUUCGGGUUGUAAAGUACUUUCAGCGGGGAGGAAGGCGGUGGAGUUAAUAGCUUCACCGAUUGACGUUACCCGCAGAAGAAGCACCGGCUAACUCCGUGCCAGCAGCCGCGGUAAUACGGAGGGUGCAAGCGUUAAUCGGAAUUACUGGGCGUAAAGCGCACGCAGGCGGUCUGUCAAGUCGGAUGUGAAAUCCCCGGGCUUAACCUGGGAACUGCAUUCGAAACUGGCAGGCUAGAGUCUUGUAGAGGGGGUAGAAUUCCAGGUGUAGCGGUGAAAUGCGUAGAGAUCUGGAGGAAUACCGGUGGCGAAGGCGGCCCCUGGGACAAAGGCUGACGCUCAGGGU
rnacentral:rRNA from 1 species